rnacentral:rRNA from 1 species
UACGUAGGCAGCAAGCGUUGUUCGGAGUUACUGGGCGUAAAGGGUGCGUAGGCGGUUGUUUUAAGUUUGGUGUGAAAUCUCCCGGCUCAACUGGGAGGGUGCGCCGAAUACUGAAUGACUAGAGUGCGGGAGAGGAGAGUGGAAUUCCUGGUGUAAGCGGUGAAUGCGUAGAUAUCGAGGAGGAACACCGGUGGUGUAGACGGCUCUCUGGACCGUAACUGACGCUGAGGCACGAAAGCGUGGGUAGCAAACAGG